UACGGGGGGAGCAAGCGUUGUUCGGAUUUACUGGGCGUAAAGGGCGCGUAGGCGGUCAGCACAAGUCAAUUGUGAAAUCUCCGAGCUUAACUCGGAAAGGUCAACUGAAACUGUGCGACUAGAGUGCGGAAGGGGCAACUGGAAUUCUUGGUGUAGCGGUGAAAUGCGUAGAUAUCAAGAGGAACACCUGCGGCGAAGGCGGGUUGCUGGGCCGACACUGACGCUGAGGAGCGAAAGCCAGGGGAGCAAACGGG
rnacentral:rRNA from 1 species